AUCCUCUUUCUAUUGUGCAGUGGA
rnacentral:siRNA from 1 species